rnacentral:rRNA from 1 species
GCAAGUCGAGCGAGACGGUUAUGAUUGAUCCUUCGGGUGAGAGAUUAACUAGAAAGCGGCGGACGGGUGAGUAACGCGUGAGUAACCUGCCCCAUACACAGGGAUAGCCAUUGGAAACGAUGAUUAAUACCUGAUAAUACUAAGAAAGCACAUGCUUUUGUAGUCAAAGAUUUAUCGGUAUGGGAUGGACUCGCGUCUGAUUAGCUAGUUGGUAAGGUAACGGCUUACCAAGGCGACGAUCAGUAGCCGACCUGAGAGGGUGAUC